rnacentral:rRNA from 1 species
UACGAAGGGGGCUAGCGUUGCUCGGAAUCACUGGGCGUAAAGGGUGCGUAGGCGGGUCUUUUAAGUCAGGGGUGAAAUCCUGGAGCUCAACUCCAGAACUGCCUUUGAUACUGCGAAUCUCGAGUCCGGAAGAGGUGAGUGGAAUUCCUAGUGUAGAGGUGAAAAUUCGUAGAUAUUAGGAAGAACACCAGUGGCGAAGGCGGCUCACUGGUCCGGUACUGACGCUGAGGUGCGAAAGCGUGGGGAGCAACAGG